UUACUCCUACGGGAGGCAGCAGUAGGGAAUCUUCCACAAUGGACGAAAGUCUGAUGGAGCAACGCCGCGUGAGUGAAGAAGGUUUUCGGAUCGUAAAACUCUGUUGUUGGAGAAGAACGUAUUUGAUAGUAACUGAUCAGGUAGUGACGGUAUCCAACCAGAAAGCCACGGCUAACUACGUGCCAGCAGCCGCGGUAAU
rnacentral:rRNA from 1 species